rnacentral:lncRNA from 1 species
AACAUAAAUCUACUCUCUUUCAGUUAAAAAGCAUUACCUCCUGUCUUGUCAUUUAGCUGUCUGAGAGAGCUGAGGUUUAUAGACAAAACUGGAAGGUAGUCUGGGUAGUAAGGUCCUGGGAAGCAGGUACUGGCUCUUGCUCCUUGCAUUGUGCAUAACAUGGGGCACUGACAAAGAAAUGUUUCUGCAGCAAUAGUAAAGUAGUCAAAAAUGGGAAAGCAAUUAUUUACCACUGUCACAUUGCUGAAGAAGUUAAUCACACUGAAAGCACCAGAAGGGACUGAAGAGCAUGAGGGGCAGCAGAAGAGAGGCAGAUGAGAAGGAUUCUCACAGGCACUGUCAGAAGGCCCUCAGACCCUGUGCUUCCCAGCCUAGAAGAGCCAACACGUGUGAUGGGGAAAACAAUCAGAGAAGAGCAGAAGGGGUAAACAAAACCAUGGAGAAGUUUCCAUACAAGGAGCAAAGAAGCAGCCUUUGGCUUUCUAGCUUGGAAAAGGACUGAUGGAGAAGGGCUAUGACACUGAUCUAGAAGGCCACGAGCAGCGUAACAAAGGCAGAAUAAGUACUUGACCAAUGUUAGCACCAAGAAGUAUGAGACUCAGUCCUCAUCUGAAUCGCACAGGUGUAGACUUCCCUGCAGAGACCCGCCUCUGACACAGAACCAUUUGGAAAACAUUUUGCUGUAUUUAGCAUUUCAUUAAAAGCCUUGUGUAAAAU